rnacentral:tRNA from 1 species
GGGGAUUUAGCUCAGUGGUUGAGCACUUGGCUAGCAAGCCACAAAGGCCUUGGAUUUAUUUAAUCCCCA